CGGGGUGUAGCGCAGAGGUAGCGCGGCUGUUUUGGGAACAGCAGGUCGCAGGUUCGAUCCCUGUCACCCCGA
rnacentral:tRNA from 2 species